ACGGGGUGCAGCAGGCGAGAAAACUUUGCAAUGUGCGCAAAGCACGACAAGGUUAAUCCGAGUGUUUCCUGCUAAAGGAAUCUUUUGCUAGUCCUAAAAACACUAGCGAAUAAGGGGUGGGCAAGUUCUGGUGUCAGCCGCCGCGGUAAAACCAGCACCUCAAGUGGUCAGGAGGAUUAUUGGGCCUAAAGCAUCCGUAGCCUGCUUUGUAAGUUUCCGGUUAAAUCCAUUAGCUUAACUGAUGGGCCGCCGGAAAAACUGCAAAGCUAGGGAGUGGGAGAGGUAGACGGUACUCGAUAGGAAGGGGUAAAAUCCUUUGAUCUAUUGAUGACCACCAGUGGCGAAGGCGGUCUACCAGAACACGUCCGACGGUGAGGGAUGAAAGCUGGGGGAGCAAACCGGAUUAGAUACCCGGGUAGUCCCAGCUGUAAACUAUGCAAACUCAGUGAUGCACUGGCUUAUGGCUAGUGCAGUGUUGCAGGGAAGCCGUUAAGUUUGCCGCCUGGGAAGUACGUACGCAAGUAUGAAACUUAAAGGAAUUGGCGGGGGAGCAC
rnacentral:rRNA from 1 species